UUGUAAAAAUUAAGAUAUUUAUUUUUCAAGAAGCUAUUAUGAAUAAUUUCAUGGCAACAAAUUUCAAAAUUUCAUGGACAAAUUACUCAAAACUAUGUUAUCAAAAUAAUUUUAAAGGAAAAAUGGAAUAAUCAUUAAAGAAAUUUGAUUGAUAUUUUAAAAUCUUCCCAGAACACAAACACUAAACCCAGAGAAGUUUUCAGGAACGUUCUACUGAACAUUCAGGAAAAAAAUAAUUCCAAUUUUAUGUAAAUUAUUCCAGAACAUAGAAAAAGAGGAAGCACUCUCCAAUUAAUCUCAAUCAUGAAGACAAAUUUGAAAAAUCCAAAGCAAGAUAGUAAAGCAAAUUCAGCAAUAACUAGAAAUCAUUAUCAAGCUGAGUUUCUUCCAGAAUGUCAGGGUGGCUUAACAAUGGAGGAAAAAGAUCACAUCUCAAAAGAUGCAGGAAAAAAGGUUUGGUAAACCUUGGCAGCCAUUUGUAAUUUUUAUUAAAAAUAAAUUUUAGAAAGCUAGGAGUAGAGAACUCUUUUAACUUAGUAAGUGACAUUUACAAAAAGCCUACAGCACGUAUCUUACUUUAUGCUGAAUUACUAAAUGAUUUCCUUUAAGAUUAUAAACAAGAGCGGGAUAAUCACUAUCAUGAUUUCAACAUUGUACUGGGGGCCUAGCAUAUGCAGAAUAGCAGGAAAAAAAGUGAUUAGGAUUGGAAAUCCACCCUAUAGUAACGCUAAGUAAGUCACAACCUCUCUUUGAGUGUAGAUGAGACCUGAGACUUGCUUCCAAUGACAGAAUAUGGCUAAGGCGAUGGGGAUAGUCACUGCUUUGACUGGUUCAUAUUAUAUGGCAAAAGUAACAGAAUAAUUACUCUUGCGAUUAUGUGAUGUUACAGAAGAUUCCUUGUUAGCGGACCAGAGUGCACUAUCAUGUUGUAAGAAGGCCUGUGAAUGAGCCACCUGGCAAGAAACCUUGGGGACCACUAGGAGCUGAUGGAAACCCCCAGCUGACAGCCAGAACAAGGCAGGGACGCAAUCCUACAGCCUCAGCUGAAUCCUGCCAACAACCAUCUGAACUUAGAAGAGGACACUAAGUUUUAAAAAGGACCACAGACUGACUGUCACCUUGAUUACAGCCUUGUGAGACCCUGAGCAGGAGACCAACAGGAACUGUGAGAUAGAGACCUGUCUGUGAGUGGCUGGGAGACCUGUUUAAUUCUGGGGUAUAGAAUUAAGAUGGCCGUCUGCCUGUAAGUAGACAUAAACUGCAUUCUCCCAAAUCAGCUUUGUUCAUAAUAAAAGUAAUAUUCUGGC